AGCAGCCGCGGUAAUUCCAGCUCCAAUAGCGUAUAUUAAAGUUGUUGCAGUUAAAAAGCUCGUAGUUGAAUUUCGGGAUUCAUCCGUUGGUCGGGCUUCACGGUCCGUACUGGUGUGAUGGGUUCCUACCUUCUGAAUAAUCGGCAUGCCAUUAAUUUGGUGCGCCGGGGAAGCAGAACUAUUACCUUGAAAAAAUUAGAGUGCUUAAAGCAGGCAAGUGCCUGAAUAGGUUAGCAUGGAAUAAUAAAAUAGGGCGGCAUGGUUCUAUUUUGUUGGUUUCUAGGAUCACCGUAAUGAUUAAUAGGGAUAGUUGGGGGCAUUAGUAUUUAAUUGUCAGAGGUGAAAUUCUUGGAUUUAUUGAAGACUAACUUCUGCGAAAGCAUUUGCCAAGGAUGUUUUCAUUAAUCAAGAACGAAAGUUAGGGGAUCGAAGACGAUCAGAUACCGUCGUAGUCUUAACCAUAAACUAUGCCGACUAGGGAUCGGACGAUGUUAAUUUUUUAAUGACU
rnacentral:rRNA from 1 species